GUGGGGAAUAUUGGACAAUGGGCGAAAGCCUGAUCCAGCCAUGCCGCGUGUGUGAAGAAGGUCUUCGGAUUGUAAAGCACUUUAAGUUGGGAGGAAGGGCAGUAAGUUAAUACCUUGCUGUUUUGACGUUACCGACAGAAUAAGCACCGGCUAACUUCGUGCCAGCAGCCGCGGUAAUACGAAGGGUGCAAGCGUUAAUCGGAAUUACUGGGCGUAAAGCGCGCGUAGGUGGUUUUGUAAGUUGGAGGUGAAAUCCCCGGGCUCAACCUGGGAACUGCCUCCAAAACUGCAUGACUAGAGUACGGUAGAGGGUAGUGGAAUUUCCUGUGUAGUGGUGAAAUGCGUAGAUAUAGGAAGGAACACCAGUGGCGAAGGCGACUACCUGGACUGAUACUGACACUGAGGUGCGAAAGCGUGGGGAGCAAACAGGAUUAGAUACCCGGGUAGUCC
rnacentral:rRNA from 1 species